CUCCCUCAAUUGGAUUCGCCCGAAGGGACCCGUUUUGCUCGCCGAAUCCCUGCGGACGAGACCACUCGGCACCGACCGAUUUCAUAUUCUCCACGUAUCCCCCCUCUUUCCUCACCGUCCGUUUCCUAGGAUAGACGAUUCAUUCUUCGCCUCUUUUCUUCGGAGUCGGUCAAGAUGCACGGAAGGCUGAAGGUGAAGACGACGGAAGAGCAAGCCGAAGCCAAACGCCUGGAACGGGAAAAGAAGCUCCACCAGUAUGUGACAGUCACCAAGGCCAUCUUUGAGAAGGUAAAAGACACGAGGCUGG